AACCAACAGGGAUUCCCCUAGUAACGGCGAGUGAAGCGGGAACAGCUCAAAUUUGAAAUCUGGCCCUUGGGUCCGAGUUGUAAUUUGCAGAGGAUGCUUUUGGUGCGGUGCCUUCCGAGUUCCCUGGAACGGGACGCCUUAGAGGGUGAGAGCCCCGUACGGUUGGCCACCAAGCCUGUGUAAAGCUCCUUCGACGAGUCGAGUAGUUUGGGAAUGCUGCUCAAAAUGGGAGGUAUAUUUCUUCUAAAGCUAAAUACUGGCCAGAGACCGAUAGCGCACAAGUAGAGUGAUCGAAAGAUGAAAAGCACUUUGAAAAGAGGGUUAAAUAGCACGUGAAAUUGUUGAAAGGGAAGGAUUUAUGACCAGACUUUUUCUGGGGGGAUCAUCCGGUGUUCUCACCGGUGCACUUCCCCCAGUUGAGGCCAGCAUCGGUUUCUGCCGGGGGAUAAAAGCUUUGGGAAUGUGGCUCCUUCGGGAGUGUUAUAGCCCGUUGCAUAAUACCCUGGCGGGGACCGAGGUUCGCGCAUUGCAAGGAUGCUGGCGUAAUGGUUAUUAAUCACCCGUCUUGAAACACGGACCAAGGAGUCGAACAUUUGUGCGAGUGUUUGGGUGUUAAACCCUCACGCGUAAUGAAAGUGAACGGAGGUGAGAGCCUUUAGGGGUGCAUCAUCGACCGAUCCUGAUGUCUUCGGAUGGAUUUGAGUAAGAGCAUAACUGUUCGGACCCGAAAGAUGGUGAACUAUGCGUGGAUAGGGUGAAGCCAGAGGAAACUCUGGUGGAGGCUCGCAGCGGUUCUGACGUGCAAAUCGAUCGUCAAAUCUGCGCAUGGGGGCGAAAGACUAAU
rnacentral:rRNA from 2 species